ACAGUGAAAUGCUAGGGAAGCUCCCAUUUAAAGGAGUCUGUGAUUAAUCUUUGGAAGCAAAAAAUACUUUGCUAGCCCCCAACUUAUCUACAGAGGUUCUCUUAAAAUUAGACUAUCAACAAAAUAAGUCAAGUCCUGAUUUGUAGGAUGUGCUGGUUUCUGAUAUGUGUAGAUCCUCACACUAAAAAUUUAACAGUUGGCUCAGAGUCUGUUUGAUCUGGCUCCAGCACACUCCUGCCUGAUUCCUAGCAAGAACAUCAUCAACGUCCAGUGGCAAAACAAAAGUCAGGAAAACUAAUGAUGGUCUGGGAUAUAUUGGAUGACCUUGACAACUUGGAUAUCUCAUCAAACACAGGCCUUCUUGACCAUUGGGACAAAUCAUUCUCAUUUGCCCAUUCUUCAGGGAGAAAUCUUCACGUGCUUGGGAUAGACAUCCAUAUAUUAUUCAUGUACACCUCAUUUAAGUUUGAAUUAAAUUGAGUAUAUAUGUCUUA